rnacentral:rRNA from 1 species
AACGUAGGAGACAAACGUUAUCCGGAGUUACUGGGCGUAAAGGGCGUGUAGGCGGUUAGUUAAGUCUGGCGUGAAAGCCCCCGGCUCAACUGGGGAGGGUCAUUCGAUACUGCUCGACUCGAAGGCAGGAGAGGGAAGCGGAAUUCCCGGUGUAGUGGUGAAAUGCGUAGAUAUCGGGAGGAACACCAGUGGCGAAGGCGGCUUUCUGGCCUGUUCUUGACGCUGAGGCGCGAAAGCUAGGGGAGCAAACGGG